UGGCUCUGGAGUUCUAGAAAAAUAAAAUACCCAGAGCCUGGAGACUGAUGGGCUGCCACAGCCAGGGAAAGGGCUGUGACAGAGAUGAUGCGGACAGGCCUAGAAGGAGGCAGGAGCCAGCGUGUCCUCGUUCCUCAUCCGGGCUUCCAGCCCCCUCUGUGCCACCUACCGACAGCCGGAAGCCUACGAGCCCAGGAGAGAUAUGGUUGGCAGAGUCCCCGCUGUCCCACUCUGGAUGGACUGGCGCUGAGGGGCGAUAGCUUAAGACCCGGCACGGAGGUCUUCCGACUACCGGCGUUGCUGGAAGUUUUGCAAUCUUCUCUGUAAGCUUGGUAUCCUAACAUUUCCCAUGAAGUACCAGGGGUGGGCCUUCCUUUCGGUGAUGAAGGUACCUUGGGUGCGAUUUUCCGCGUUUCUACAUUUAAAAAGUGACGUUUUCGCCUGGAAAAAAAGAAAGAAAAAAAGGAAAAAGGAAAACUGACAUUUGUGGCUGUGUUGAUGCCUCUCUGUUUUCUGCAUCCAGUCCCUCUCCUUUCCCAGCUGCUCUGGGCCACAAGAGGCUGUAGGAAGAGGCUACAUCACCUGGCUGCCUUGCCUUCUGGGUUUUGGUUGGGUCAAGCCUGAGGCGGCAGUGAAAGGGAAGAGGGGGAGACUGGAAUAGGAGAUGUAGAGAGCAGCAUGUGCGAGGCCAAAGUUUGGACUGAAUUCCAUACCUAGUGGGACACUGAGCGGGAUUUUAAGUGGGGGAGGAAGAUGGUCAAAGAUCAAAGUGGCAAAUUAAGACAGUUAAUUUGAUGGCCCUCGACAAGCUAGAGGAAGGCUGAAGGCAGGCAGCCCCAUGGGGGCUGGGAUUGCAGCAGUUCCACUGAACUUGUGUUUGUUGACCACGACGGGGUAAAAGGAUAGCUGAUUGAGAGACAUUUCCAAAGCAAGUGAUCCAAUCCCGGGGGUGGAUAUGUUAAGGAAUUGUGUAGUGACAUUGCUACACGGACAUUGCUAUAACGGACAGGCAGCUGCCUUUCUAGAGUGACAUCCACAGGGCUCUUUGCAGGGACGUGCUACCUGGUAGCUAAAGUCAUCUUGUUACUAAAGCCAAACACCACCGUUGCGUUUUCUCUUUUGUUUGAUUUCUAGGUCUUAGAAUAUUAUAGUGUCUUUUU